UCCCUGGUAGUAUAUCGGCUAGUACACGCGCCUGUCACGUGCGAAAGCUGGGUUCGACUCCCAGCCAAGGAG
rnacentral:tRNA from 1 species